GGGGAUAACAGUCAGAAAUGGCUGCUAAUACCGCAUAAGCGCACAGAGCUGCAUGGCUCAGUGUGAAAAACUCCGGUGGUAUAAGAUGGACCCGCGUUGGAUUAGCUAGUUGGUGGGGUAACGGCCCACCAAGGCGACGAUCCAUAGCCGGCCUGAGAGGGUGAACGGCCACAUUGGGACUGAGACACGGCCCAA
rnacentral:rRNA from 1 species